rnacentral:rRNA from 1 species
UACGAAGGGGGCUAGCGUUGCUCGGAAUUACUGGGCGUAAAGGGAGCGUAGGCGGGUUAUCAAGUUGGAGGUGAAAGCCCAGGGCUCAACCUUGGAAUUGCCUUCAAAACUGAUAGCCUAGAGUAUGAUAGAGGUAAGUGGAACUCCGAGUGUAGAGGUGAAAUUCGUAGAUAUUCGGAAGAACACCAGUGGCGAAGGCGACUUACUGGAUCAUGACUGACGCUGAGGCUCGAAAGCGUGGGGAGCAAAC